UACGGGGGAGCAAGCGUUGUUCGGAUUUACUGGCGUAAAGGGCGCGUAGGCGGUCAGCACAAGUCAGUUGUGAAAUCUCCGGGCUUAACUCGGAAAGGUCAACUGAUACUGUGCGACUAGAGUGCAGAAGGGGCAACUGGAAUUCUCGGUGUAGCGGUGAAAUGCGUAGAUAUCGAGAGGAACACCUGCGGCGAAGGCGGGUUGCUGGGCUGACACUGACGCUGAUGCGCGAAAGCCAGGGGAGGCGAACGGG
rnacentral:rRNA from 1 species